AGAGUUUGAUCAUGGCUCAGGAUGAACGCUGGCGGCGUGCCUAACACAUGCAAGUCGAGCGAGAAGCUUCGGAAGGAUUCUUCGGAUGACGGAAGGAGUGGAAAGCGGCGGACGGGUGAGUAACGCGUAGGCAACCUGCCCCUUGCAGAGGGAUAGCCAUUGGAAACGAUGAUUAAGACCUCAUAACGCCGGGCCUGCACAUGCAGGGUUGGCCAAAGAUUUAUCGGCAAGGGAUGGGCCUGCGUCUGAUUAGCUGGUUGGCGGGGUAACGGCCCACCAAGGCGACGAUCAGUAGCCGACCUGAGAGGGUGAACGGCCACAUUGGAACUGAGACACGGUCCAAACUCCUACGGGAGGCAGCAGUGGGGAAUAUUGCACAAUGGGCGAAAGCCUGAUGCAGCAACGCCGCGUGAAGGAAGAAGGCCUUCGGGUCGUAAACUUCUGUCCUUGGGGAAGAAGGAAUGACGGUACCCAGGGAGGAAGCCCCGGCUAACUACGUGCCAGCAGCCGCGGUAAUACGUAGGGGGCGAGCGUUAUCCGGAAUUAUUGGGCGUAAAGAGUGCGUAGGUGGCUUUUUAAGCGCAGGGUAUAAGGCAAUGGCCCAACCAUUGUUCGCCCUGCGAACUGAGGAGCUUGAGUGCAGGAGAGGGAAGCGGAAUUCCUAGUGUAGCGGUGAAAUGCGUAGAUAUUAGGAGGAACACCAGUGGCGAAGGCGGCUUUCUGGACUGUAACUGACACUGAGGCACGAAAGUGUGGGGAGCAAACAGGAUUAGAUACCCUGGUAGUCCACACCGUAAACG
rnacentral:rRNA from 1 species